AUUGAAUUUAAUUAUUAAUUAAGGUGCUUAAUUACCAAAUACUGAGUCGCUGUUUACAGCUGAAUACGAAUAUCACCUUAUGUUGACCCACAAGAAACUUCUUCAUUCAGAUGUGCCUUUCAUAUUUUGACGUCGUUUCAUCAACUAAAGCAAGAUGACAUAAUUUAUCAGCAGCAUUCAUCAAUACAUCAAAAUUUAUAUGAAUACAAUCUAAGAAUACAAUAUUUUUCUUGUCUUCACUGUUUGGAAUGUAGACGAAGUGAUUGCCUUACAGGUUAAUUAAGGUUGGAUUCCUUUACAAACGAGUUGACAAUUUUCACUUGCUGAUUUAGAUAUUAAUUAAGAUCACAGAAGAAAGAAACACAGCUUCAAAUUCUUUUCUGGAAAUAGUUGCAGAACUGAAGUCAAAAUAUGUUUAUACAGAUGAAGGAAACAUUAUUAUUGUGAUAUGUAUAAUAUAUUAUUCUCUCACGAUGAAUAAAUUAACUGAAGCAAAAACCAAUGAUACAAGAAUAAAACAAUAUUUCUGUGCUAUUU